GGGAAUGUAGCUCAGUGGUAGAGUGCUUGGCUGGCUUUUGAGAAGCUCUGGGUUCCAUCCUCAGCAUCCA
rnacentral:tRNA from 1 species